rnacentral:rRNA from 1 species
UGGGGAAUUUUGGACAAUGGGCGAAAGCCUGAUCCAGCAAUGCCGCGUGUGUGAAGAAGGCCUUCGGGUUGUAAAGCACUUUUGUCCGGAAAGAAAACGCCGUGGUUAAUUCCCGUGGCGGAUGACGGUACCGGAAGAAUAAGCACCGGCUAACUACGUGCCAGCAGCCGCGGUAAUACGUAGGGUGCAAGCGUUAAUCGGAAUUACUGGGCGUAAAGCGUGCGCAGGCGGUCCGCUAAGACAGAUGUGAAAUCCCCGGGCUUAACCUGGGAACUGCAUUUGUGACUGGUGGGCUAGAGUAUGGCAGAGGGGGGUAGAAUUCCACGUGUAGCAGUGAAAUGCGUAGAGAUGUGGAAGAAUACCGAUGGCGAAGGCAGCCCCCUGGGCCAAUACUGACGCUCAUGCACGAAAGCGUGGGGAGCAAACAGG